rnacentral:tRNA from 1 species
GUUCUUAUAGUGUAGGUAGCACGUUAGAUUUUCAAUCUUUUAGAAUAUAGGUUUUAUUAUAUUAAGAAUU